rnacentral:rRNA from 1 species
AUGGGUGUUGGAGGUGGUUCGUCGGCGUCGGCGUCGAGGUGCAGGAGCACGGGGGCGACGAUGUCGGUGGCGCCGGCGAGCGGCGGUAACAGCGUCCGCUGCUGCCGCUGCAUCAACAUCUACUUGAACAACAACGUGCAGGGCGUCACCAACUCCGUGCUCUUCGGGAGCAGCGUGGUCAUGAGGGACCCCGGAGCUAGCGUCGUCCCGUCCCGCCGUCCGCCGCGCGCUGCCCGUGUUUGCUGCCGAAGGCAGAGGCGGCAACAGAGGAAAAAGAAGAUGAUGAAGACGACGAUGUGGGCUGCUGCUGCGAUUAUUUGCCUCGCGGCCCUCGCCAUCAUUGUUCUGGUGCUGAGCGUGAAGCGUACGUAA